rnacentral:rRNA from 1 species
UACGUAGGGGGCAAGCGUUGUCCGGAUUUAUUGGGCGUAAAGAGCGUGUAGGCGGCCAGGUAGGUCUGCUGUGAAAACUCGAGGCUCAACCUCGAGACGUCGGCGGAAACCAUCUGGCUAGAGUCCGGAAGAGGAGAGUGGAAUUCCGUGGUGUAGCGGUGAAAUGCGCAGAGUAUCAGGAAGAACACCCGUGGCGUAAGGCGGCUCUC